rnacentral:tRNA from 1 species
CUGAACACUCCUCCUUAAUG